UGUCAGCCGCCGCGGUAAUACGUAGGGAGAAAGCGUUGUCCGGAUGUACUGGGCGUAAAGGGCGCGUAGGCGGCCUGUUAAGUAUGAAGUGAAAUCUCUGGGCUCAACCCGGAAACUGCUUUGUAAACUGGCAGGCUAGAGGAAGGUAGAGGUGAAUGGAAUUCCCGGUGUAGCGGUGACAUGCAUUGAUAUCGGGAGGAACACCCAUGGCGAAGGCAGUUCACUGGGCCUUACCUGACGCUGAUGCGCGCAAGCGUGGGGCGCAAACAGGAUUAGAUA
rnacentral:rRNA from 1 species